CUACAGCCAGUUAGUGUGACAACACAUCCCAAAGUACAUUCCUGCAUCCAAACUUCAGGAGCAUUUGAUUGUAAAUUACUGUAAACAUGGGUGGCCCCGGUGUCUACAGGGAGCUCCUCAACACAUUUGACCUGCAGAAAGACAAUGUGGAACGUGGGAGAGGUAAUGGGAGUGAUGGAGGAGACUGUGGCUGGGGAAAGGGAAAGUUAGGCUUAUCACUCAUUCUAUUUCUUCUCCUACCACAGCCCAUCAAAGUGAAGGUUGAAUUUUAACCUCAAGAUGUGACUAAAAUGCUCCUUGCUGGGAGCUGGUGGAUUUUGCAUUCUUUCCCAAGGUGAGAGUUGUGUCCAGAUGACAAAUACCGCAGACCCAACAGCAUCUUCAAAACAGAUUUUUCCUUUGAAAUGAGUCAGCAUGGAACAGCUUAUUUGUGGUGGUCCAGUUUUGCUUCCCACAGCAGAUCCAGCAGGAUAAGCACUCCAGCUGCAGCUGCUCAUUCCACAGGAGCUUGACAGCUCUCUGAACCAAACUAGCCAUCAGCAGCACAUCAGCCAGCAGUGGGUAAAAGACAGUGCUUACACCUAAAAGAGCAAUUUGAAAUCAAUGCUGAUUAAUUGCAGGGGUCAUCCAAUCAGGGAGGACGCAAUUUAGAGAAGACUAAUGGUCUUCAGGUUAAGGAACUUGCUGCCUUCUCAGGUGAUUUCAGUUUAAUUAUUGCUUCAGUUCUUGACUUCCUAAUUAAGUCAAUUAAUCUCUCCUGUUCUGUGAACUUCAUCUCUAGAAGAGGCUAAUUGCAGCUGACUCUUUUGCCUCUUUAGUUUUUCAAUUCUUUGUGGUAGGAAUUAAUUGUCCCUGUUUUACUUUUAUCCGUGCUGGGAUUUAGACCUCUGUACUGGUGAAGAUAAGGCAUAAUAUAGGACUAAUUUUUAUUUGGUGGGAGAGGUUCACCAAAGUUGCCAGAGAAGAAAAAAGUGGACAUCUCUAUAGGCUAGGUCUCAUAGGUCUUAAAUGCAGGUAUUGCUUUGGGCGAAAAGCUUGAAUGUUCAUGCAGAGUGUGCAGCAUAAGCCUGGCAGAUGUGUAGCCCUGACCUAUGCACUGAGGAGUUUGAGGUGUCCCUGCACAGUGCUCUGUUUCUGCAGGAACUAGCUGUCCAGGGCUGAUGAUAAAAAUAAUUACAUGAUGGUUGCCAGUGCUGAUUUUCUCUGGCUAUCGGGCACUGAAAACUGAUGAACAAGAAUUAUAAUAACCAAAUACAUACAGAAAAGUUCUGAAUUUUUUAAUUCUUUUGCAGACAUCUGAGAAAAGAGGGGAAAGUUGCCAGGCAAGAACUCUAUCAUCUAAAAAUAAAGAGAGCAAACCCAAAAUCAUUUAAUGAACUUACAGGAACCUACGAGGACUUUCAGAGAGCUGGCCAGGACCAAGCUUAAAGUGUUCCUUACAAUGUGUUCAUGGUAGGUUAAACAAGAUCAGUAAUUGUCCCUUCUAAGACAUACCAUUUGAAUGGAAGAGAGAGAUAAACAAGGAGGCAACAGAGGAGGCAUUUGGAAAAGAACUAUCUGCAGCCAGCACACUCCAAAGCCACAGGGAGUUAAAUAUGGGCUGAGCAAAUCUUUAUCUUUUUGACAUUAAGAAAUUCCAUCUGGAGCUUUCAUUGCAAAGGGAAGGCUAGACAGGAGGGGCUAUGGUCUUAGAUAAAUAGCCAACAAUAAAAACAAUAUGUAAGCAGAGAAUCUAACAGAUGUGGAAAGGGGGGAUUAAGUAGUGAAGAAGAUAACAUAUUGCAGGUUAUAAAUUGUGAGGAAGGAUUGCCAGACACCAAGCUGAGUGAGACUUGGCAAAAGGAAUUAAAUAACAAAAUCUUCUGGAACAGAGUGAACAAAAGAGAACAAGGAGAGAAAGAAUAAAUAAGGUUGCUGUGCACUUAGCAGGGGUUCCAGGUGGAAGAUUACUUGUGUGUGGUCUCAGCAUUUUACUGAGCUCUGAGUCUGUGCUACCAUGUUUUCUUCUCUCCUAAGGAUAAUUCUGCAGAGCAGGGAGAGGGCUAACCGAAAGAUAUUGCCAUGCUCAAAUCAGUGAGGCAGACGAUCUCAAUCCCAAAUAUGUGUCAAAAAUCAGUCAUGUGACAUUGGAACUUCAUGAGGCAAGAAUUUGAUACAUUUAUUCAAAACAUGGUUCUGUGGGACAGAAACAAUUGCAAAUUUCAUAUUCAGAAUAGGGGGUACAGGACAACCUAGGCAGCUGCUGGUCGUCUAGCAUGGAUAGACUGGGAAGCUUUCAAAAAACUCUUCAAGAAAAAUUAUUUUAAACAAAGGCGAAAUUGAGUAAAAUAUGUUGGUAGACUUGCACUUCACCUAAGGACUUUAUUUCCUUGCCAACAGAAUUGGUUGGCCAGAUAAGAGAAAUGGAAACAUACAUAUCUGGAAGUAAUCUCUGAUCUUUCCUUCCAGCCGUUGGAAGCAGCUAUAAGGUAGACUUGUGCCAUUUGCACUUUAUUAAUGCUUUGGGCAUAACAUUAGAGGGGCAUUUAUUAGGUCAAUAUGAGGAGGGGGCAAAUAGCGCAAGUAUUGUUAGAUUUUAAAAUUUGACUGAAAAGGAGAUAAAUGAGUUAAGAACAGCAUGGACUGAAAGAAGAUCUGUGGGGCUGGAAGUUGCCAGCAUGACCUCAUCAUUAAGUUUACCUGUUUUGUUUUUUAUUUUCCUGAAUCAUCUAGGCUUUGAAAUAGGGAGUUGUUACUGAAAUGUGCUGUGGCACAGCCAUGGGAAGGUCUAAAUGAUCACAUGGGGAGUAUUAUGUGAGGUGUCACCUGCAGAUGUACGAGUGACAGGAAGUAUAACUCUACAGAGAGCAACCUCGAAUGCUUAGUAGCCCAAAACCCUGAACUGCUUGUGUUUCUCCUACAAGCUGAUAACCCACAUUUGGAAGCAAUAGAAGAGGGUAAGACUUGAAUUAAUUAGUUUGGUGCAGGAGCAUCACAUGUGAUUUAACCUUGGCAACAGCCUUGGCAGCUCCUGUCUGCCAACUGUGAUGGUAGGAAAUGCCACUUCUGUGUCCAGAAGCCUGCUGGAUACCUAGAGCUUUUUCUAGGGUGGCCAAGCCAGAGAAAAGUGUAUCUAAUUGGCUCUUACUGUGUCUAGGCUAAGGACAGGAGGUUGUUGGGAGUGCUGAGGGCUUGCCAUCAGUCUGUUGGAGCAAUAGCAGAAGGGAAGAAAAUCUAUUUCGGCAAUAGGGCAGUGUUAGCUCAAGCAUAAAUGGUGUAUGGACUGACUGUGUUGAUCUGAAUACUGGAAAUUAAUGUUUCUCUUCUCAUGAGCCAGGAGGUGCUUCAGUGGGAAGUUUCAUGACAAGAAUCCAUACUGUUUCUGAGAUGGAUGCUUUUUUGGAAGGCAGCUUAUAAAAUGAUUACUGAGGUAGCUGGGGCCCAGGCUCUGUAGUCCUAGGGUUCCUUCCUGGAGUCUCUGACAGUGACUGCAUGAAUCUGGAGUGUCCUCUGUUUUGUAUGGAACAGGAGCAGAUGUAUCCUCUCCCCUGUUCAGAUUCCAGCUGCAUCCAGCCUUGCCUUCCAGUCCUAUGUUUCUCUGCUCUUGACCUAGCAGAGAGAGAUGAUAAAGCUUCCUCAGCCACUUGAGAGCACUUCUUAGGCAGUCCAAGUGAUUGUGGUUGUGCAGUUUCAGCUCUUUUCUCAGCUGAACACCCACAUGUGUGAAUAAAUGCAGUUUCUACAGAAUUCCCCAUCUUUCACCCACAGAGUGCAAGCACUGGUCUCUGACUCCGACAGACUUUUGAAUCUCUGGAGCAAUAAAGUCUCCCUAUAGAUCAAAGUUGAAACUGCUCAAAAAUGAGGAUUUUUUUCAGAUCUGCUCAGCUCCUGCCUGAAGAGUUGUUUAAGUGUGGUGAAUUGUCAGUCUCCAGUAAGAGAGGGGCACAAACCUAUUUUAAGGUGUGUGAACAGUCUGGCAAAGUGAUAAUGAUCAUGGUGCCUGGGACACCUAGAAAGUGAAUUGAUGGCCCAGCAAGCUUCUUUGAGCAAGAGUUCCCUUCUAGUUCAUCCUCCAGGACUUCCUGAUCUCAGUACACCUCCCAGUGCCUUAGGAUGGCUCACAGACUUGUUUAUAUUGGGGUGAUCACCAGUACUGCGGCAGAGCCUUGCAGAAAUCCUUGUCCAUUUACUGUAGGAAAGUGGUAGCCUAACCCAGGCAUAUAAGAGGCUUCAGUAAGCAGCUUUGCAGUCUGAGAACAAUAUACAAGGUUUUCUCCAUUUUUGCUUCGUUUUUUAUUUCCUCUCUGUCACACUGUAUUGAUGAGUGAGUUUUGCAGUUCUCUGUACUGAAGUGAUGAGCUGUUGUCUUCUGGGACUGGAAAAAAUGUGGUGAAACCGUCAGU